GCCGCCGCCAUGUUGGGCUGGAGGUACGCACGCUCCCAACGCUCUCUGGCUGCGCUCCCAACGGUAUCUGGCUGCAAAUCACGGCGGGAGCGCCUCGGGCCUCUUGUCUUUUGACCCUGUCCUUGGAACCCGAGGAGACUUGCCGUUCCCGGGGGAGGGUGUGUGUGAGUCGGGCGGCGGAGGCCGUCUACGCCAUUGUAGGGGCGGGGGGAGCCGAGAUUAGAGCAUCAGCCUGAGAGAAGUGGUGCUUCUGGUUCUCCGCUCUGCCUCGCAUCUUUCAGCGAGGCCUCGUACCUCAGUUUUCCCAUCCGUGAAGUGGAGCUGGGCCUGCCUGACUCAUUCAUUCAUCAGGUGGAGGCCUUGACGCUCUAGGAGCCCUUUCAAAGGACUUUGCCUUACACGAAAUAGUACCUAUCGUUAUUCACUCUGCAGUAACCACCCGGAUUUGAGUGGCGGGUGUUUGCACAGUAAUUCAGUUUCCUCUUCACCCUCCUGCCAUUCGUCUUCCCCUCCAGUUUAUCUCCUGAAAGAGUUUGAAAUCAGCCUUGUCUAUUAUUGAUAAACUCCUGUAGGUGUAUUUGGUAUUUCCCUUAAAACAUGCAGACCAAAGGAAAGGCAAUAUUUUCCCCCCACGAAGCAGUUAACUUGGUAGAGGCCAGCCGUUGUAUGGAAGAGAAAGAGAGUCUCUUCAGGACAGGCAGUUUGGAUCCUGCUAAACCAGAAUAAAAAAUCUAGAACAUGGGCCGGGCGAGGUGGCUCACGCCUGUAAUCCCAGCACUUUGGGAGGCCAAGGCGGGCGGAUCACGAAGUCAGGAGAUCGAGACCAUCUUGGCUAAUACGGUGAAACCCCGUCUCUACGAAAAAUACAAAAAAUUAGCCGGGCGUGGUGGCGGGCGCCUGUAGUCCCAGCUACUCAGGAGGCUGAGGCAGGAGAAUGGCUUGAACCCGGGAGGCGGAGUUUGCAGUGAGCCGAGAUCACGCCACUGCACUCCAGCCUGGGCGACAGAGCAAGACUCCGUCUCAAAAAAAAAUAAAUAAAUAAAAAUCUAGAACAUGGAUGUCCCCUUGCUUUAGCAGACCUAGCUGAUCACACAAGGUCCUGUAUUGUUAGGCUGCAUCACAGGCCGCAAAGACCCAGGUAUCUAUCCAGUUGUUAGAAACCAUCCUGAGAGUUAGAUACCACUUUUCUGUUGGAAAUACAGACCAUUUCCUGAAGCCGUAUGGUUGAGGUAAAACAGGCCUUUUGCAGUCUUAUAUUUUGAGUAAGGCCAAAACUGCCUAGUGUUACAAAACCAGACAAAAAGCCCAGGUACCCAGUCUUGCAGGAUAGAAAUGUGUGACUAAAAUGAAGCAUCGAUCUGAGAAGACUACAAAUGAGCGGGAAAGAUUGGACAGGAGCAUGCUAUACAUUAUUUAGAUUAAUGUUGAUAUUUAAGGAGCCAGGAUAUUGGUUUGUUUUUGAGGGGUGCCCAUCUACUUUAUGUAAGAAGCUAUAAACUACACUUCUUUCAGUUUCUGCUUAAUCCUUGCUCAAACAAGGAAUAAUUUCUUAUUCCAAAGUAGACAUUGGUACAUCUUUUACUAGGUACAUAAUUUGGGAUGAAGUCUGAUAAAGCUCCUUAGAAGUACUUACAGUACACCCUCACAAGGGUGUACCAUCUACCCAUGGUUUAAACAGAAAUUAAAAUUCUACCUUCGUGGAAAAAUUUGCCAAGUUUUAAUGGAUUCAGUGCUCAUUAAAAACUUUUAGCCUGUCUUGAUCUUUAACAUAAUUAUUGGUGUGAAACAAUGGCUUCUGUGGAAAAUUAAAGUUUUAGUGGUUUGCUAUUUGUGAAAUACAGGCUUUUUCAUGUAUCAUAUUAGCAUAUAAGCUGGCUUAAUCAUUAGUACUGAUCUUCAAGUUACUAAGACACCAGAUAUUUGUUACUUUGUAAUUUGAGUUUUUAAAAAAAUUCCGAAAUUGGCUUUUCGAUGUGUGAAAAGGACUACUUAUUAGAUGCUUGUUUUUAAAUUUACAUUCAAUUAAUUAAAGCUAGACUCUUUAUAUUCUUAGGCUUGGUAUACUAUUUGUAUGUUUUGUAGUAAGUGUAUAAAAAUAAUACCUUUGACUUUGUAUAAAAAAAAUCUUUCUUGCUUUAAAAGCCAUGUUGGAUUUGCAUUCUAGACCGUAAUAAAUAUAACUACUUUAACAUAAAAA
rnacentral:lncRNA from 10 species